rnacentral:rRNA from 1 species
AUUGAACGCUGGCGGCAGGCCUAACACAUGCAAGUCGAACGGUGACAGGAAACAGCUUGCUGUUUCGCUGACGAGUGGCGGACGGGUGAGUAAUGUCUGGGAAACUGCCUGAUGGAGGGGGAUAACUACUGGAAACGGUAGCUAAUACCGCAUAACGUCGCAAGACCAAAGAGGGGGACCUUCGGGCCUCUUGCCAUCAGAUGUGCCCAGAUGGGAUUAGCUAGUAGGUGGGGUAACGGCUCACCUAGGCGACGAUCCCUAGCUGGUCUGAGAGGAUGACCAGCCACACUGGAACUGAGACACGGUCCAGACUCCUACGGGAGGCAGCAGUGGGGAAUAUUGCACAAUGGGCGCAAGCCUGAUGCAGCCAUGCCGCGUGUAUGAAGAAGGCCUUCGGGUUGUAAAGUACUUUCAGCGGGGAGGAAGGGAGUAAAGUUAAUACCUUUGCUCAUUGACGUUACCCGCAGAAGAAGCACCGGCUAACUCCGUG